AUGAGCAUGGCUGAACUGGACCAACCUGUUUCUCCAACAGCUUAUGAAGAAAGCAAACUGGCUUCUUAUCCUGGCAACACAACUCUGAAAAAGCACCAAGAGACACUGCAGGCAGGACCAGUGAAAUCCAGAGUCAUCUGCGUGAAGCCGAAAUCUGAAGUUGCAGAACAGCAAGAUUUUCCAAGAGAUACAGAUCGGACGCAGAUUGAGCCCAGCAUGUAUCUUACGUCGCUUCUUUCAGGGGGAGAAGCCAAGCCCCAUUUACGCUCCCUUCCCGCGCCUGUCAAGGUACCAUCUGCUGAUAUAGACGACGAGAUUCAGAGCUUCAGUUCUUUCCAUGGGAGUUCGGGCUCAUCUGGAGCAGAUACGCUGUGAGUCCUGCCUCCACGUCCCAGCCCACAAAACCGUAGGCGGCAAGAGAAAGAGUGGGAACAGCUGGAAAUAAUGUAGCUAUCGGCAACAUUUGGACAUCAAAUCCUCGUCCUAAAGUUUUUAAUAUACCACUGUGUGUUUGUGUGUGUGUGACUUGCAUGUGAAUAUGUACGUUUAUUUUUAAAAUAAAAUAUUUCCAUUUUGAAAAUGUGUUUAAUCU
rnacentral:lncRNA from 1 species